UUCACUCGGCCGCACAACUCUCUUCUUCUUCUACUUCUUCUUCACUAGCAGCCUUCUCUCUCCUCUCUCCAAAACCAGAAACUCUCACUCAUACCUCCACCUCCUUCACUAUCACCGCCUCCACCUCCUUCACCUUCGCCGCCUCCACCUCCUGCCCUAUCACUACCGUCGCCGCCUCCGGCAGCAAGAGCGACGGCGCAGCAAAUGAACUCUUUUCUGGUUUUUGGUUGUGAAAGGCGGCCAGUUUUUCAGAGGCAAUGCGUCCAUUGCCUUUAGUUUUGUCUGAGGCGGUGCUUGAUUUGGAUCCAUAGUUGGGCUGAAAUCUUUGCUCCUAUUUUCUUAGUUUCGAUUUUCUGUAAUCUUCGUCGUCAGCAAGAAUUUUCAGUUUUGUAAACUGGACCUUCAUUUUGGGGAAAACUCUCUGUUCUUCUUCUUCUUCUUCGUCUUCUUCCUCUCCUCUCUCUUUCCGUUUUAAUUUUUUCUGGUUUAUUUCCCGGUCCAGCAUUUGAAAAUGUCCAUCCUCUUUACAAUUCAUCCCUUUCUUCUAUGAAUAAUAUGUGUUUGGAUUGGAGCUCUUUGCUUUGAAGUUUUUGUUGUUAUGAAUAAUAUGGGUUCGAUCAUGUUUUAGGGGUUCUUGACUAUGUUUUUCAAUUUCCUUCCGCUAACCUUGAUUGCAGAUAUAUUAGUCAUGAGCCGAAGAAUUCCACUUGGUUGCUCCACUUCUGAAAAACUUGAUGUAAAACCUGAACUCGUGCAUGUGCAGCGGUCAACUGGUCAAGGUAUAAGUGUUUGCAGAAGAUUCCGAGGUCAUUUUGCGACUUGAAGCCCCGUUGAGAGGAAUGACAUCAAUAUUGACAUCGUUAAUAGGUUUCGGUAUAUCAUUUCUAGAAAUAGAUUAGGUCCAUAUAUUCAUUUUAGUGAAUAGAUAUUAGAUUGAAAGUUGGACCAUAACUUAUAGCCUUUUAUAGAUUAGGAUAAAAAA